GAUGAACGCUGACAGAAUGCUUAACACAUGCAAGUCUUUGGCGAAGCUGUGCUUGCACAGCCUAGCCAAGGCGGACGGGUGAGUAACGCGUAAGGAACUUGCCCUGCAGUCAGGGAUAACAGACGGAAACGACUGAUAAGACCUGGUAAAGUCAGGCGGACUCAUGUCCAGCCUGAUGAAAAGAGAUGCUGCAGGAGAGCCUUGCGUCCUAUUAGCUUGUUGGUGGGGUAACGGCCCGCCAAGGCGAUGAUAGGUAGCCGGCCUGAGAGGGUGGACGGCCACAAGGGGACUGAGAUACGGCCCUUACUCCUACGGGAGGCAGCAGUGGGGAAUAUUGGACAAUGGGGGCAACCCUGAUCCAGCAAUUCUGUGUGCACGAUGAAGGUUUUCGGAUUGUAAAGUGCUUUCAGCAGGGAAGAAAAAAUGACGGUACCUGCAGAAGAAGCGACGGCUAAAUACGUG
rnacentral:rRNA from 1 species